GGCCGGAUGGCAGAGUGGUCAUGCAGCGGAUUGCAAAUCCGUGUACGCCGGUUCGAUUCCGACUUCGGCCU
rfam:Pseudomonas resinovorans NBRC 106553 DNA, complete geonome.